AAGUCGGCCGCAGUGCACACCGCCUCUGAGUAACUGCCUCCCUCAGACAUGAUUCAGACCUGUCUGGAGUCACCCACAUCCUCAUUCCCUAUGAAGGGAUGCACGCCAGGUGAGGUGGCCAGGCGGCUGGCAGGGGCGGCUGGCAGGGCCGCAGCAGAGGUGGAGCCUGCUGCAUCUCCAAGGGCUCACCCUGAGACGCCCCCGGCCGGGGCUGGACGGACGCCUGGGCCUCGAGCACCCAGAGUGCAUGGGGCCCAGACUCAGGUCACAGAAACCGCUGCCCGCGGAGGCGCCUGGACGUCGGCCCUCGGCAGGCAUUCCUCCGGGCCAGCUGGGCCCUUCCACAGGCCCUUCGCCCCUGUCUAAAACCCCGACAUGAAAAGAGAUCAGCUCUGAUGCACACUGCACGGCGGACCCCCAACGUCGGGGGCCGCGAGAAAGAAGCCAGUCGAGAGGAAAUGAAUGCUCAGCCUGAUUCCACGGCGGGACAGUGUGACCUCUGGUGGAUGCUCAGCCUGAUUCCACGCCGGGACAGUGUGACCUCUGGGGGGCGAGCUGCAGGGACGGCCUAGGGGGCGGGGCAGGCCACCGGUGGGGAGCCCAAAGGCCCUACAUCUCGAUCUGGACACUUGCCUCACACACACCCGUUUGCCACAAGCCACCACCGUGCACACUCACGUCCAUAUGCUUCGCGUCUGUAAGUUACGUCGCAAUAAACCGUCACAGCAGAGGAGACGCAGGUUGCAACAGGACAUUUUACGACUUACAGGAGAGGGACAGCCGGCGGGGUCUGACGGGGUCUCCGGAAUGUCCGCCUCCGCCCGAGAGCCCUGGGUUCAAUUACGCCCAUUUUACAAGGAAGAAAGGCACUGCUCGGGGAGCCCGGACCUGCCCAUCCCCCCACAGGUUAUGGUGACCCCUUUCUUCCGAUGCUGGACAAACUCCUACUUCCUGUGGCCUUCAGCCCGAGGACAUGGCCAGGUGACACGUCCAAGAAGGUGUCUGUGUGGAGGAAGGGACAAAAGAGGACCCCAAGGAAAAGCCCAAGGACGAAGCAGCAGAGAGCCCCGAAACUCGCUCUGCCCUCGCGCUGGAGCUCAGGGGCGGUGACAAAACGCAGGCUUCGGAAUCCCGCAGCCCAAGCUCAAAUUGAGCUCAGUUCCUGGCCGAGUGAUCUCCGCGGCCAGCCGGCAGGAGCCUUAGCUCAGCCUCCUUGUGCAGCGGGGUGUGCAUAGGGCUGUGAGCAUCUGUGACUCACCGAAAAUAGCUGGCUUUCGAAAAGCCACAAUGUCACUGGCAGACACCGAGAAAACAAUCAAGUGGACAAAGCAACGCUGGGCACUGGGUGCGCAUUCCCCGGAUGCUGACCGCCUCCCAGCCUCUCCCUUUGCUUGUUCUUCUUCUCGGUCCGCCCCCACUCGCCAGAGUCUAUUCUGGGGAAAAGGUCCAGAGCUCGUUCUCACUAGAGUGUAAAGGAAUGCUGCCAUGUGCUCGGUCAGGGGCGCUCAAGAUGUCCAGGGAGGGGAAAGAGGAUGCAAGGUAAAAUGGAGGCUUCAGUGA